rnacentral:rRNA from 1 species
AUGGUACUUGGGUCUUUGGACUUGUCGUUCUCGGUUCUUGCGACGGUAGUCGUACUAGUCUGCGGUAGUGGAACUUGUCGUUUCGGUGUGAAGUCAUUCGGGCGUCGGUCUUGCCGGUGGAGUACUUGGCGAACCUGCAUAGUCGAACUUGGCGUAACCAGUGGUACUUGGCAAUUUUGUGUAGACGGACUUGCGGUGGUCUUGGACCGGGCGAACUUGGCGUAUCCGACAGCGAAAAGCACACAACCCGCAGUCGGUGGAGUUUGCGGGCACGCAGAGGAAGGUCGGCGAGGACUUGGCGCGGUAGAGCGCUACAACAGAGCCAGCAGGGUCCUCGGGCCACGCGAAGGAGAGGAGCGGCACAAGGCGGCGCUGGGUGACUGCGGGCAUGCCCCAACGACCUCGGUCGCCGGCAGCAGAGGGGCAAGGCGAGCGGUGGCCUCCUGCGGACGCGGACGGCGGCGCUGCAGAAGGACAGCCGCAGCAGGGCGUGAAGGAGCUUGGGGAGGUCGAUCUGGUCGCCUCCGAGGCUUGGGCGCGCCAGAGCUUCGAGCUAUAGGCGGCGGACGACAUCCAUGGCUGCUCCCGGAGCUUCGCCAGAGGCGCGCGGACAAGGCAGGGCACGGGAGCUAG